rnacentral:rRNA from 1 species
UACGAAGGGGGCUAGCGUUGCUCGGAAUCACUGGGCGUAAAGGGUGCGUAGGCGGUCCUUUAAGUCAGGGGUGAAAUCCUGGAGCUCAACUCCAGAACUGCCUUUGAUACUGAGGAUCUUGAGUUCGGGAGAGGUGAGUGGAACUGCGAGUGUAGAGGUGAAAUUCGUAGAUAUUCGCAAGAACACCAGUGGCGAAGGCGGCUCACUGGCCCGAUACUGACGCUGAGGCACGAAAGCGUGGGGAGCAAACAGG